rnacentral:rRNA from 1 species
UACGGGGGGAGCAAGCGUUGUUCGGAUUUACUGGGCGUAAAGGGCGCGUAGGCGGCGCAACAAGUCACUUGUGAAAUCUCCGGGCUUAACCCGGAGCGGCCAAGUGAUACUGUCGUGCUAGAGUGCGGAAGGGGCUACUGGAAUUCUCGGUGUAGCGGUGAAAUGCGUAGAGAUCGGCAGGAACACCCAGGGGGAAACCAGCCGACUGGGCAUCUGCUGACGCUGAGGUGCGAGAGCGUGGGGAGCGAACCGG